AUGAACGCUGGCUACAGGCUUAACACAUGCAAGUCGAGGGGAAACGACGGGGAAGCUUGCUUCCCCGGGCGUCGACCGGCGCACGGGUGAGUAACGCGUAUCCAACCUGCCUCUGACUGAGGGAUAACCCGUCGAAAGUCGGCCUAAUACCUCAUGGUAUCGUCUGCGGGCAUCCAACGACGAUUAAAGAUUUCAUCGGUCAGGGAUGGGGAUGCGUCUGAUUAGCUUGUUGGCGGGGUAACGGCCCACCAAGGCUACGAUCAGUAGGGGUUCUGAGAGGAAGGUCCCCCACAUUGGAACUGAGACACGGUCCAAACUCCUACGGGAGGCAGCAGUGAGGAAUAUUGGUCAAUGGGCGAGAGCCUGAACCAGCCAAGUAGCGUGCAGGAAGACGGCCCUAUGGGUUGUAAACUGCUUUUAUGCGGGGAUAAAGUGAGGGACGUGUCCCUCAUUGCAGGUACCGCAUGAAUAAGAACCGGCUAAUUCCGUG
rnacentral:rRNA from 1 species